UGUGAUUAUAUAUAUAGCGUGAAGCUUGAAAAACAAAAUCUCCUGCAACUCUGAAUUUGAACGUGCAUGCAACAAGCGGUUGCUGAGGAGGUAACAUCCAGCAACACCAUUAUGCAAUUUAACUCUCACCCCACCACCCAUUGACUAAUUGACUAAUAUUAUACAUACAGGGAAAAAUUGCCCAUCACAUUCAGUCUCGUGAUAGUUGUGAAAUACAGUUUGAAACACAAGGAAAAAAAAAAUCUUUGGUGAGAAGCACAUGGGUACAAUCCACAUGACAAUGACAUUCUUGGUGUCACUACACUGGCAUUAAUUAACCAGCGUCUCUUCUCUAUUUUUUGGCAGGCAAAUCUGAACCAGUGAACUGCUGUACAAUUCUGCAGGAACAAUCAAGUAACAUGAUUAUAUUACAAGGUUGUCACACCGGUGUUGCAUUCUUUAUGAACAAAGUAAAGAGACAGUUCAAUUCA
rnacentral:lncRNA from 1 species